UUUUAGCUCACCUGAGCCAUUUUAAGACCCGAGCGAGUUUUCUGUUCUGUGUCUGGUAUUCGUCGGUCAUCUAUAAACUUUUCAAAUUUUUACAUUCAUGAGAAUUAUUCCUAGUUUGAAUAAAAAUCCCUGCAAGAUACAUCUUUUCUUUCAGAAAUUGUGCCAGAAAAGUUUGAAGUAGCUAUGGGAAUGAUCAACAUUGAACUUGCUGAGGCUCUCUUCCUGAAAGUGACUUGACCAGAUAUUUGGCUACCCAGUAUGAGUAUCUUUCUGCUACAUUAAAUAAAAUAUCGUGGAGGAACACGAAGAAAAGGGCUGCGCACCUCAACAUAUUCAAGGUCAAGCAGCUUUUUAUCAUAUCCAUAGUAUCUUGCUGCUAAAUGAAAGAAUUAGUGUGGAGGAGCAGAGAAAAGGGCACCUCAAUAUGUUCAAGGUCAAGCAGAAAUUAGGAGCUAGGUGUGCUUCUCCAGAGCUGAAAACUUCUUGGCAUGAAGAGAAGAAGAAGCAAGAAAAAGCAGUUUUAAAUAUUGAUUACGUCUUCAUAGUACAAAAAAUGAUUCUAAAGAUAAUACUAUCUAUGAAAUUAGAAAGCUGAAGUUGCGUUCUGAUGAAUGUGAGAAUGUCUUGAAAGAACAGGACACCAAAAGUGCCAUUCUCAAAUCAAAGCACUCUAAAAGGCAGAGCAUAAGAAGAA